UCUUUUACCUAAAAAAAUACAUCAAUUCCAUAUUAGUAUUAAGAUGCAUGACAAAAUCAAGUUGAAAGUAACAUGCUGCAAAAUGACAGUAAUAACAAUAACAUGCAUGUAUAUAAUGUAAUAAUAUUAACAUGCAUUAAAAACUAGUAAAAACAGAAACUAUUAAAAACAAAAACAAUAAGAAGAAAAAUAAAUUAAAACAAUAAGUGAACAAUUGAGUACACUGGAAUAAAAUAAAAACAAUAAAUGAAA
rnacentral:lncRNA from 1 species